rnacentral:rRNA from 1 species
ACAGGUGGUCGGGUAGAGAAUACCAAGGCGCUUGAGAGAACUCGGGUGAAGGAACUAGGCAAAAUGGUACCGUAACUUCGGGAGAAGGUACGCUCUUGAUGGUGAAGUCCCUCGCGGAUGGAGCUGACGAGAGUCGCAGAUACCAGGUGGCUGCAACUGUUUAUUAAAAACACAGCACUGUGCAAAAUCGUAAGAUGACGUAUACGGUGUGACGCCUGCCCGGUGCCGGAAGGUUAAUUGAUGGGGUUAGACUU